GAUGAACGCUAGCUACAGGCUUAACACAUGCAAGUCGAGGGGCAGCGGGGGUAGCAAUACCCGCCGGCGACCGGCGCACGGGUGAGUAACGCGUAUGCAACUUACCUAUCAGAGGGGGAUAACCCGGCGAAAGUCGGACUAAUACCGCAUGAAGCAGGGGCCCCGCAUGGGGAUAUUUGCUAAAGAUUCAUCGCUGAUAGAUAGGCAUGCGUUCCAUUAGGCAGUUGGCGGGGUAACGGCCCACCAAACCGACGAUGGAUAGGGGUUCUGAGAGGAAGGUCCCCCACAUUGGAACUGAGACACGGUCCAA
rnacentral:rRNA from 1 species